GCCAGACUCCUACGGGAGGCAGCAGUGAGGAAUAUUGGUCAAUGGACGCAAGUCUGAACCAGCCAUGCCGCGUGCAGGAUGACGGCUCUAUGAGUUGUAAACUGCUUUUGUACGAGGGUAAACCCCGAUACGUGUAUCGGGUUGAAAGUAUCGUACGAAUAAGGAUCGGCUAACUCCGUGCCAGCAGCCGCGGUAAUACGGAGGAUGCGAGCGUUAUCCGGAUUUAUUGGGUUUAAAGGGUGCGUAGGCGGAUUUUUAAGUCAGCGGUAAAAUGUCCGGGCUCAACCCGGGCCGGCCGUUGAAACUGGGGAUCUUGAGUGGGCGAGAAGUAUGCGGAAUGCGUGGUGUAGCGGUGAAAUGCAUAGAUAUCACGCAGAACUCCGAUUGCGAAGGCAGCAUACCGGCGCCCGACUGACGCUGAGGCACGAAAGCGUGGGGAUCGAACAGGAUUAGAUACCCGGGUACA
rnacentral:rRNA from 1 species